AAAAACAAAAACAUUUCCCAACAUCUCGCGGUAGCACAAAAUGCUAGCUAGUUUUCCCAGUUUUCUGAACAAUUUAGAAUGAGAUACGGUCGUUCGAGAUUCAUUGAAUACUUCCUUGUGGCAGUGUUUGGAGUAGGAGGUGGGUUUUACGUCUUUCAACCAGCUUUCCGGCAGUACCAACAAGAUCAAACUUCUCCGCCGUCUGCACCGAAAGCGGAAGGAACCAGCGAACAGCGUUAAACAUUCGGAACGGAUAAAAAUCUCCUUGCAGGAUGUCGUUGGCCACGUUUGCUCGCAUGUACCAUAUGCUGAAAGGAUCUCCGGUAGCCGUCGUCGGCGGAACGAUACUGAUAACGGGAUCUUUGCUCUACACCUACCGGGCUAUUUAUCGGCCUUUCGUGGUUCGUAGGGAGCGAGCCGAGGCAGAGGCCAUGGCCGACUACAUUUUCCGAAUGGAGCAGUCCAGGGAACAACGGUAGUCGACGCAAGGUUCUACACCAUAGCCAAUAAAUUAUCAAAUUAUCGUAUAAGCUGUUGUGCUGUCUUUCAUUUA